rnacentral:rRNA from 1 species
AUUGAACGCUGGCGGCAUGCCUUACACAUGCAAGUCGAACGGCAGCACGGGUGCUUGCACCUGGUGGCGAGUGGCGAACGGGUGAGUAAUACAUCGGAACGUACCUUAUCGUGGGGAUAACGCAGCGAAAGCUGUGCUAAUACCGCAUACGCCCUGAGGGGGAAAGCGGGGGAUCGCAAGACCUCGCGCGAUUAGAGCGGCCGAUGCCUGAUUAGCUUGUUGGUGGGGUAAAAGCCCACCAAGGCGACGAUCAGUAGCUGGUCUGAGAGGACGAUCAGCCACACUGGGACUGAGACACGGCCCAGACUCCUACGGGAGGCAGCAGUGGGGAAUUUUGGACAAUGGGGGCAACCCUGAUCCAGCAAUGCCGCGUGGGUGAAGAAGGCCUUCGGGUUGUAAAGCUCUUUUGUCAGGGAAGAAACACCGGCUCUAACACAGUCCGGGAAUGACGGUACCUGAAGAAUAAGCACCGGCUAACUACGUGCCAGCCGCCGCCGUAA